AGUGAAGCGGGAAAAGCUCAAAUUUAAAAUCUGGUGGUUUUGCCAUCCGAGUUGUAAUCUGGAGAAGCGUUUUCUGUGCUGGACCGUGUACAAGUCUCUUGGAACAGAGCGUCAUAGAGGGUGAGAAUCCCGUCCAUGACACGGACACCCAGUGCUAUGUGAUACGUUUUCAAAGAGUCGAGUUGUUUGGGAAUGCAGCUCAAAAUGGGUGGUAAGCUCCAUCUAAAGCUAAAUAUUGGCGAGAGACCGAUAGCGAACAAGUACCGUGAGGGAAAGAUGAAAAGCACUUUGGAAAGAGAGUUAAACAGUACGUGAAAUUGUUGAAAGGGAAACGCUUGAAGUUAGUCGCGUCUUACUUGACUCAGCCUUGCUUCGGCUUGGUGUAUUUCAUGUGAGACGGGUCAACAUCGAUUUUGACCGGCAGACAAGGGGAGUAAGAAUGUGGCACUCUUCGGAGUGUGUUAUAGCUUAUUCUCAUAUGUGUCGGUUGGGAUCGAGGACCGCAGCGCGCCCUUGUGGCCGGAGGUUCGCCUCACGUUACGCGCUUAGGAUGUUGGCAUAAUGGCUUUAAGCGACCCGUCUUGAAACACGGACCAAGGAGUCUAACAUGCUCGCGAGUGUUAGGGUGGAAAACCCUUGCGCAGAAUGAAAGUAAAAGUUGGGAACCUCCGCAAGGGGGCGCACCGACGCCCGGCCCAGAAGUUUACGGACGGUGCUGCGGUAGAGCGCGUAUGUUGGGACCCGAAAGAUGGUGAACUAUGCCUGAAUAGGGCGAAGCCAGGGGAAACCCUG
rnacentral:rRNA from 1 species